GAAUUUUCUUUUGCCUGCCAACUGCAGGAGACGCUAGACCCCGUUGCAUCUGCGAUCUGUUCCCCAGAGUCCAUACGCGAGACGCCACCUGACGCCAGACGCCGUUUCAUCUGUGAUCUGAGCGGGGCACCGGCGAUUGGCGGACGCCUGACGGCCGACGCAGGCGCUGCCUGGUGUAGCAGUCCUCGCCAACGACGUCAAGUCCGUCACAAAACAAGGGUGUCGAAUGGACGGUUUGAUGACGUAUUUUGGAAUUUCAAAUUGCAAGACAUCUUUUCCAAUGUUGCUUGAAAAAUUUGUGAAAGUGGCGCAUCGGGAUGACUUGAGCUCCCGGUGGCGGAGCUGCUAUAGAGCCAUUGGGUUCAAAUGAACCCAAUGAAAAAG